rnacentral:rRNA from 2 species
UCGACGGUAACAUUGAUGCUUGCAUCAGAUGACGAGUGGCGCACGGGUGAGUAACGCGUAUACAAUCUACCUUUUACAGGGGGAUAGCCUUUAGAAAUGAAGAUUAAUAUCCCAUAGUAAGUAGUUUUGGCAUCAAGACAACUUUAAAGUUUCGGCGGUAAAAGAUGAGUAUGCGUUCUAUUAGUUAGUUGGUAAGGUAACGGCUUACCAAGACCACGAUAGAUAGGGGCCCUGAGAGGGGGAUCCCCCACACUGGUACUGAGACACGGACCAGACUCCUACGGGAGGCAGCAGUGAGGAAUAUUGGACAAUGGGCGCGAGCCUGAUCCAGCCAUGCCGCGUGCAGGAAGACUGCCCUAUGGGUUGUAAACUGCUUUUAUACAGGAAGAAACCUUUUCACGUGUGAAAAGCUGACGGUACUGUAAGAAUAAGGAUCGGCUAACUCCGUGCCAGCAGCCGCGGUAAUACGGAGGAUCCAAGCGUUAUCCGGAAUCAUUGGGUUUAAAGGGUCCGUAGGUGGAUAAUUAAGUCAGGGGUGAAAGUUUGCAGCUCAACUGUAAAAUUGCCUUUGAUACUGGUUAUCUUGAAUUAUUGUGAAGUGGUUAGAAUAUGUAGUGUAGCGGUGAAAUGCAUAGAUAUUACAUAGAAUACCAAUUGCGAAGGCAGAUCACUAACAAUAUAUUGACACUGAUGGACGAAAG